UACGGGGGGGGCAAGCGUUGUUCGGAAUUACCGGGCGUAAAGGGCGCGUAGGCGGCCAUCUAAGUCAGACGUGAAAUCCCUCGGCUCAACCGAGGAACUGCGUCUGAUACUGGAAGGCUUGAAUCCGGGAGAGGGAUGUGGAAUUCCAGGUGUAGCGGUGAAAUGCGUAGAUAUCUGGAGGAACACCGGUGGCGAAGGCGGCAUCCUGGACCGGUAUUGACGCUGAGGCGCGAAAGCUAGGGGAGCAAACGGG
rnacentral:rRNA from 1 species